AGGGGGGGGGGGGGUUGGCGUAUGAGGGGUAGAGUAUAAAGAGAGGCUCUGUAGUGAGAGAAGCUCAAAGGAUCUGUUGUAGCAGCUACUGACAAUGAAGUGUUUGGCUGUAUUCCUCGUGUUGAUUGGACUCUCCCUGGCCAUGCCAGUUGAGAAACAAAAUGCUGAAGCUGAGAAGAUCGACCUCGAUGAAUUGCUAAGCAUUCUGAACUCCCAAACAACAGAUACUGACCAAGCUAAGGCUCAAAAAGGAAAGAUAACAGCCAAAGGUCUGAUAUCCCUCUUCCCUACAAUUGUCGACGCAGUUACCCACGAUCAAGAACAAGCCAAGAAGCAAAGCUUGAUCCAUCCAAUUUCCCCUCCAUCUUUUGUAUGGCCCUCCUUUCCUACCAGGAAGGGUACAGCUAACACACAAGAAGAGCAAGCCACGGCUCAAAUUGGAAUUUGGGCUGCUCUUGCUGUUGCAAUAGCAGGAGCAUUGGUAGGAGCUGGUGCUGGUAGAGCACUCGACGAAAUCCCCCUUCAAGAACUAGCUAACACACAAGAAGAGCAAGCCACGGCUCAAAUUGGAAUUUGGGCUGCUCUUGCUGUUGCAAUAGCAGGAGCACUGGUCUUGCUGUUGCAAUAGCAGGAGCACUGGCAGGCGCUGGUGCUAGUGAGGGUCUCAGUCGAAUUCCCCUUGAAGAACAAGUUAGGACUGAAGACAUCGACCUCGCAGAGCUCAUUAGUCUCCUAGGAAACGAUCAAGCUAU